rnacentral:rRNA from 1 species
AUUGAACGCUGGCGGCAUGCCUAACACAUGCAAGUCGAACGAGUGGCGGACGGGUGAGUAAUGUCUGGGAAACUGCCUGGUGGAGGGGGAUAACUACUGGAAAGGGUAGCUAAUACCGCAUACCAUCGGAUCUGCCCAGAUGGGAUUAGCUAGUAGGUGGGGUAAAGGCUCACCUAGGCGACGAUCCCUAGCUGGUCUGAGAGGAUGACCAGCCACACUGGGACUGAGACACGGUCCAGACUCCUACGGGAGGCAGCAGUGGGGAAUAUUGGACAAUGGGCGCAAGCCUGAUGCAGCCAUGCCGCGUGUAUGAAGAAGGCCUUCGGGUUGUAAAGUACUUUCAGCAGGGAGGCGUUACCCGCAGAAGAAGCACCGGCUAACUCCGUGCCAGCCGCCGCGGUAAUUC